rnacentral:lncRNA from 1 species
UUUGACUGAUGGAGGUGGUGGUGUGGGUUGACUAUGAAUGGAAGGUGACAAGGAGUCUAUGGUUUGUGACAUGUAUUUAGAGAUUGAUGAGGUUGUAUCCUGAGGUGACUUGUUGGCUGAGAAAUAUGCAGAGCUGAACUGAUGUAACUCAAGUGUAGUAAUUAAGGGUGAUUGGUGUGUGGGGUCAUGAGGUACAACUAACUCAAGUAAGUUACCAGUGGACACAACAAUAUCA